rnacentral:rRNA from 1 species
GAUGAACGCUGGCGGUGUGCCUAAUACAUGCAAGUCGAGCGAACAGAUGAGGAGCUUGCUCCUCUGACGUUAGCGGCGGACGGGUGAGUAACACGUGGAUAACCUACCUAUAAGACUGGGAUAACUUCGGGAAACCGGAGCUAAUACCGGAUAAUAUAUUGAACCGCAUGGUUCAAUAGUGAAAGACGGUUUUGCUGUCACUUAUAGAUGGAUCCGCGCCGCAUUAGCUAGUUGGUAAGGUAACGGCUUACCAAGGCAACGAUGCGUAGCCGACCUGAGAGGGUGAUCGGCCACCCUGGAACUGAGACACGGUCCAGACUCCUACGGGAGGCAGCAGUAGGGAAUCUUCCGCAAUGGGCGAAAGCCUGACGGAGCAACGCCGCGUGAGUGAUGAAGGUCUUCGGAUCGUAAAACUCUGUUAUUAGGGAAGAACAAAUGUGUAAGUAACUAUGCACGUCUUGACGGUACCUAAUCAGAAAGCCACGGCUAACUACGUG